CCUGGCGCAGCAGUGAGGAAUAUUGGUCAAUGGGCGAGAGCCUGAACCAGCCAAGUCGUGUGAGGGAGUACUGCCCUAUGGGUUGUAAACCUCUUUUGUCGGGGAGCAAGACCCGCCUCGUGCAGGCGGAGCGAGAGUACCCGAAGAAAAAGCAUCGGCUAACUCCGUGCCAGCAGCCGCGGUAAUACGGAGGAUGCGAGCGUUAUCCGGAUUUAUUGGGUUUAAAGGGUGCGCAGGCGGACCAUCAAGUCAGCGGUAAAAUCGUGGGGCCCAACCCCAUCCCGCCGUUGCAACUGGCGGUCUUG
rnacentral:rRNA from 1 species